GACGAACGCUGGCGGCGUGCCUAAUACAUGCAAGUCGAACGCAGAGGGGACGAGUGAGUAACAAGUGGGUUACCCCCCAUCAGAGGCGAUAACACUUGGAAACAGGUGCUAAACCGAUACCGAUGGCUGGCCCCUCGGUGCAUUAGCUAGUUGGUGAGGUAACGGCUCACCAAGGCCACGAUGCAUAGCCGACCUGAGAGGGUGAUCAGCCACACUUGGACUGAAGCACGGCCCAUGCUCCUGCGAGAGGCAGCAGUAUGGAAGCUUCGGCAAUGGACGAAAGUCUGACCGAGCAACGACGCGUGAGUGAAGAAGGUUUUCGGAUCGUAAAACUCUGUUGUUGGAGAAGCGGUAGCUGACCAGAAAGCCACGUCUAACUACGUGCCAGCAGCCGCGGUAAUAC
rnacentral:rRNA from 1 species